AUACGGAGGGUGCAAGCGUUAAUCGGAAUUACUGGGCGUAAAGCGCACGCAGGCGGUUUGUUAAGUCAGAUGUGAAAUCCCCGGGCUCAACCUGGGAACUGCAUCUGAUACUGGCAAGCUUGAGUCUCGUAGAGGGGGGUAGAAUUCCAGGUGUAGCGGUGAAAUGCGUAGAGAUCUGGAGGAAUACCGGUGGCGAAGGCGGCCCCCUGGACGAAGACUGACGCUCAGGUGCGAAAGCGUGGGGAGCAAACAGGAUUAGAAACCCUAGUAGUCC
rnacentral:rRNA from 1 species